rnacentral:rRNA from 1 species
CCUACGGGUGGCUGCAGUGGGGAAUAUUGCACAAUGGGCGCAAGCCUGAUCCAGCCAUGCCGCGUGUGUGAAGAAGGCCUUCGGGUUGUAAAGCACUUUCAGUGGGGAAGAAGGCCUUGGGGCUAAUACCCUCGAGGAAGGACAUCACCCACAGAAGAAGCACCGGCUAACUCCGUGCCAGCAGCCGCGGUAAUACGGAGGGUGCGAGCGUUAAUCGGAAUUACUGGGCGUAAAGCGCACGUAGGCGGUCUGAUAAGCUGGUUGUGAAAGCCCCGGGCUCAACCUGGGAACGGCAUCCGGAACUGUCAGGCUAGAGUGCAGUAGAGGAAGGUAGAAUUCCCGGUGUAGCGGUGAAAUGCGGAGAGAUCGGGAGGAAUACCAGUGGCGAAGGCGGCCUUCUGGACUGAGACUGACGCUGAGGUGCGAAAGCGUGGGUAGCAAACAGGAUUAGAUACCCGAGUAGUC